rnacentral:rRNA from 1 species
GUUGUCCUACGGGGGACAGCAGUGAGGAAUAUUGGUCAAUGGCCGAGAGGCUGAACCAGCCAAGUCGCGUGAGGGAUGACGGCCCUACGGGUUGUAAACCUCUUUUGUCGGGGAGCAAGACCCGCCACGAGUGGCGGAGCGAGAGUACCCGAAGAAAAAGCAUCGGCUAACUCCGUGCCAGCAGCCGCGGGAAUACGGAGGAUGCGAGCGUUAUACGGAUUUAUUGGGGUUAAAGGGUGCGCAGGCGGACCAUCAAGUCAGCGGUAAAAUCGUGGGGCCCAACCCCAUGCAGCCGUUGAAACUGG